AGCAGCCGCGGUAAUUCCAGCUCCAAUAGCGUAUAUUAAAGUUGUUGCAGUUAAAAAGCUCGUAGUUGAACUUCGGGGUUUACCCAUUGGUCAGGCUUAAUUGUCUGCACUGGUGAGAUGAAUCUCUACCUUCUGAGGAACUUUCAUGCCAUUUAUUUGGUGUGAUGGGAAAUCAGGACUGUUACUUUGAAAAAAUUAGAGUGUUUAAAGCAGGCUAACGUCUGAAUACAUUAGCAUGGAAUAAUGAAAUAGGACGGACUGAUUCUAUUUCGUUGGUUUCUAGGAUCACCGUAAUGAUUAAUAGGGACAGUUGGGGGCAUUAGUAUUCAAUUUGUCAGAGGUGAAAUUCUUGGAUUUAUUGAAGACUAACUACUGCGAAAGCAUCUGCCAAGGAUGUUUUCAUUAAUCAAGAACGAAGUUAGGGGAUCGAAGACGAUCAGAUACCGUCGUAGUCUUAACCAUAACUAUGCGACUAGGACUCGGACGAAGUUAAUUUUAUAAUAGACGCGUUCGGUACCG
rnacentral:rRNA from 1 species